rnacentral:rRNA from 1 species
AGUUUGAUUCUGGCUCAGAUUGAACGCUGGCGGGAUGCUUUACACAUGCAAGUCGAACGGCAGCACGGACUUCGGUCUGGUGGCGAGUGGCGAACGGGUGAGUAAUGUAUCGGAACGUGCCUAGUAGCGGGGGAUAACUACGCGAAAGCGUAGCCAAUACCGCAUACGCCCUUCGGGGAAAGCGGGGGACCUUCGGGCCUCGCACUAUUAGGAGCGGCCGAUAUCGGAUUAGCUAGUUGGUGGGGUAACGGCUCACCAAGGCGACGAUCCGUAGCUGGUUUGAGAGACGACCAGCCACACUGGGACUGAGACACGGCCCAGACUCCUACGGGAGGCAGCAGGGGAAUUUUGGACAAUGGGGGAAACCCUGAUCCAGCCAUCCCGCGUGUGCGAUGAAGGCCUUCGGGUUGUAAAGCACUUUUAGCAGGAAAGAAACGGCACGGGAUAAUACCCGUGCAACUGACGGUACCUGCAGAAUAAGCACCGGCUAACUACGUGCCAGCAGCCGCGGUAAUACGUAGGGUGCAAGCGUUAAUCGGAAUUACUGGGCGUAAAGCGUGCGCAGGCGGUUCGGAAAGAAAGAUGUGAAAUCCCAGAGCUUAACUUUGGAACUGCAUUUUUAACUACCGAGCUAGAGUGUGUCAGAGGGAGGUGGAAUUCCGCGUGUAGCAGUGAAAUGCGUAGAUAUGAGAACACCGAUGGCGAAGGCAGCCUCCUGGGAUAACACUGACGCUCAUGCACGAAAGCGUGGGGAGCAAACAGGAUUAGAUACCCUGGUAGUCCACGCCCUAAACGAUGUCAACUAGCUGUUGGGGCCUUCGGGCCUUGGUAGCGCAGCUAACGCGUGAAGUUGACCGCCUGGGGAGUACGGUCGCAAGAUUAAAACUCAAAGGAAUUGACGGGGACCCGCACAAGCGGUGGAUGAUGUGGAUUAAUUCGAUGCCGCAAAAACCCCACCUAGCCUUGGCAUCCGGAAUCCCGUAGGCUUGGGAGCUGUGAUAUCGAACACAGGUGCGCAUGGCUGCCCGCCGUAGCCGGAGGGGAUGUUAACAGUCUAUGGCCAACGAGCGCGCCCAACACAGUUGCGCACGAAAGGCACUCCCUAGAUGACUGCCGUGACAACAGGGAAGGUGGGGAUGACGUCAAGUCCCUCAUGGCCCUUAUGGGUAGGGCUUCUACACGUCAUACAAUGGUCGGGACAGAGGGCUCAACCCCGCGAGGGGGAGCCAAUCCCAGAAACCCGAUCGUAGUCCGGAUCGCAGUCUGCAACUCGACUGCGUGAAGUCGGAAUCGCUAGUAAUCGCGGAUCAGCAUGUCGCGGUGAAUACGUUCCCGGGUCUUGUACACACCGCCCGUCACACCAUGGGAGUGGGUUUUACCAGAAGUAGUUAGCCUAACCGUAAGGAGGGCGAUUACCACGGUAGGAUUCAUGACUGGGGUGAAGUCGUAACAAGGUAACUCUGUUACU